ensembl:lncRNA
AAAUUAUUGCGUAAUCUCCAGCUGUGUGUAUUUUUCCAUUUGGUUCAGAGGAGAAACCAAACUGCCACGAAUGAUUUAUCAUCGAAUAGAUAUGUGAAAAACACCUUAAGGAUUGAUUCUAAACAAGGUUUGCCAUGUUUCUGUCGAUAUUAUGGAGUUAAUUUGGAAAAAAGUUUGGCGUUGUAAUGACUGAAUUUUUGUUUCUUAGCCAAACGUGAUGAACAAAACGGAGCGAUUUCUCCUACACAAAUAAUCUCUUUGGAAAAACUGAACAUUUGCUAUCUAACUGAGAGUCUCCUCAUUGAAAACAACCGAAGUUCUUCAAAGAAUAACCCACCUUAAAAGGACCAAGCAGCGUGAUUGGGAGGAACAACGCUUAAUGUAGAAAUGGACCCUGGAGAAGGACGAAUGGGUAACAACCUGGGAGGAGAUUGAGAGUUGGUCGAUCGAUCCAGGGAGAGUGCCUGCAUGGGAUUCUUUGGAACAGUGCGAGGAGGGAUACAGGAGAAUGGAGGAACGGCGAAGAUAUAAGGGUACAUGGCUAGCACAGAAGCCCGAGAGCCCGAAGUCAGGUAGGAGACCUGAGCCAACUCUCGUGCUUACCGUGGGGAGCAUGUAACUGGUCAGGCACCGUGUUAUGCAGAGAUGCGCAUGGUGUCUCCAGUGCGCAUUUCUAGCCCGGUGCGCUAUAUUCCAGCUCCUCGCAUUGGCCGGGCUAGCAUGAGCAUCCAGCCAGGACGGCUUGUGUCAGCUUUACACUCCAGACCUCCAGUACGCCUCCACAGCCCAGUACGUCCUGUGCCUGCUCCCCGCACUCGCGCUGAGGUGCGUGUCCCCAGCCCAGUACCACCAGUGCCAACACCACAUACCAGGCUUCCUGUGCGUCUCCAGAGCCCUGUACGCCCUGUUCCUCCUCCCCGCACUCGCCCCGAGGUGCGUGUCUCCAGCC